rnacentral:rRNA from 1 species
UACAAUUGUAAAAUUAAAUUCUUGAUUAGUAUUAGUUAUGUUCUUAAAAAUUAAAAAAUUUGGCGGUAUUUUAGUCAGUUUAGAGGAACCUGUCCUGUAAUUGAUGAUCCACGAUAAGUUUGACUUUUUCUUUUAGUUUGUAUAUCGUUGUUAUUGAAUUUCUUUUAAGAGUAAUUUCAUUUAUUUUUAUAGUAAUUUAUUUCAGAUCAAGGUGCAGUUGACGAAGAAGUAAGAGAUGGGUUACAUUAAAUUUAUUUUUGGUUAUUAGGUUUAAGUUUUAAUAUAAAUUGGAUUUAAUAGUAAUUAAAUUAAUUUUAUUUUAAUGAUUAUUGCUCUAUAAUAUGU